rnacentral:rRNA from 1 species
CACGUAGGGUGCGAGCGUUGUCCGGAAUUAUUGGGCGUAAAGAGCUCGUAGGCGGUGUGUCGCGUCGGCCGUGAAAACCUGCAGCUUAACUGUGGGCUUGCGGUCGAUACGGGCAUCACUGGAGUUCGGCAGGGGAGACUGGAAUUCCUGGUGUAGCGGUGAAAGUGCGCAGAUAUCAGGAGGAACACCAGUGGCGAAGGCGGCUUCCUGGCCUGUUCUUGACGCUGAGGCGCGAAAGCUAGGGGAGCAACGGG